rnacentral:tRNA from 1 species
GGAGAGAUGGCCGAGCGGCUGAAGGCGCUCCCCUGCUAAGGGAGUAUGGGUUUUAUCGCCCAUCGAGGGUUCGAAUCCCUCUCUCUUCGCCA